AUUGAACGCUGGCGGCAUGCUUUACACAUGCAAGUCGAACGGUAACAGGCCGCAAGGUGCUGACGAGUGGCGAACGGGUGAGUAAUGCAUCGGAACGUGCCCAGUCGUGGGGGAUAACGCAGCGAAAGCUGUGCUAAUACCGCAUACGAUCUGUGGAUGAAAGCGGGGGACCGAAAGGCCUCGCGCGAUUGGAGCGGCCGAUGUCAGAUUAGGUAGUUGGUGGGGUAAAGGCUCACCAAGCCAACGAUCUGUAGCUGGUCUGAGAGGACGACCAGCCACACUGGGACUGAGACACGGCCCAGACUCCUACGGGAGGCAGCAGUGGGGAAUUUGGACAAUGGGCGCAAGCCUGAUCCAGCAAUGCCGCGUGCAGGAAGAAGGCCUUCGGGUUGUAAACUGCUUUUGUACGGAGCGAAAAGGCUCUCUCUAAUACAGGGGGCUCAUGACGGUACCGUAAGAAUAAGCACCGGCUAACUACGUGCCAGCAGCCGCUGUAACAC
rnacentral:rRNA from 1 species